rnacentral:tmRNA from 1 species
GGGGAUGCAAUGGUUUCGACGGAAAGUUCCUUCCGAAAAAACAGGUAGAGCGUGAGACAGCUCUCUAAUCUCUCUCAAACACAUAUCUGCCACAUCAUUGGCACGCAAGGUUCAGAACGCUUUUGCGUCUCUGAGUUUUGCUCCUGCUCUCGCCUAAUAUAGCCGAGAGCCAUCCCUGCUCUUUCGUCGAGUGAGAGCGAUCGGGGUGUUAUAUUACUCGGCGCUCCUCAUCGUGCGGUUCCAACGUGGUGAGUGAGUACUACCGGAACACAGCUCGUCGCGUCGUCGCCGGACUUCGACGGGUGAAGACUGAUCGGCGACUAAACCUGUAGUUUUUUUCGGUUUCCCCUUUCCAGACAGGGGUUCAAUUCCCCUCAUCUCCACCA